GACGAACGCUGGCGGCGUGCCUAAUACAUGCCAGUCGAACGCUGAAGCGAGGAGCUUACUCUUCUUGGAUGAGUUGCGAACGGGUGAGUAACGCGUAGGUAACCUGCCUUGUAGCGGGGGAUAACUAUUGGAAACGAUAGCUAAUACCGCAUAACAAUGGAUGACACAUGUCAUUUAUUUGAAAGGGGCAAUUGCUCCACUACAAGAUGGACCUGCGUUGUAUUAGCUAGGAGGUGAGGUAAUGGAUCACCUAGGCGACGAUACAUAGCCGACCUGAGAGGGUGGGUAGCCACACUGGGACGGUGACACGGCCCAGUCGGCCAGGGGAGGGAGCAAGAGGGAAACUUCGGCAAGGGGGGGAAAACAGACCGCAAAACGCGGAGGGAGGAGAGAAGGGCUUCGGGUGGGGAAGGUCGGUUGUAAGUCAAGAAAGGGUGUGAGACUGGAAAGUAGAGUCUGUGACGGUAGCGGAACAAAAAGCAACGGCUAACUACGUG
rnacentral:rRNA from 1 species